GACGACGCUGGCGGCGUGCCUAACACAUGCAAGUCGAGCGGGGUUGAAGCGAGAGGUAACUCGAACUUCUACCUAGCGGCGGACGGGUGAGUAACGCGUGGGCAACCUGCCUCAAGGUUUGGGAUAACAGCCCGAAAGGGCUGCUAAUACCGGAUAUGCCUAUGGCCUCGCAUGGGGCUAUGAGCAAAGGGGAAACCCGCCUUGAGAUGGGCCCGCGUCCCAUCAGCUAGUUGGUGAGGUAACAGCUCACCAAGGCGACGACGGGUAGCCGGCCUGAGAGGGUGACCGGCCACACUGGGACUGAGACACGGCCCAGACUCCUACGGGGGGCAGCAGUGGGGGAUCUUGCACAAUGGGCGAAAGCCUGAUGCAGCGACGCCGCGUGAGCGAAGAAGGCCUUCGGGUUGUAAAGCUCUGUCUGGAGGGACGAACAAAAUGACGGUACCUCCGGAGGAAGCCACGGCUAACUACGUG
rnacentral:rRNA from 1 species